AGUGAACGCUGGCGGCGUGCUUAACACAUGCAAGUCGAACGAGCAAGAGCCGUAGCAAUACGGAGUUCUGCUAGUGGCAGACGGGUGAGUAAUACAUAGGAAUCUGCCUCGGAGACAGGGAUAACAGUUGGAAACGGCUGCUAAUACCUGAUAUUGCCUAAGGGUGAAAGAUUUAUCGCUCCGGGAUGAGCCUAUGUGGGAUUAGCUUGNGGUGGGGUAAUGGCCUACCAAGGCGACGAUCUCUAAUUGGUCUAAGAGGAUGACCAGUCACACUGGAACUGAGACACGGUCCAGACUCCUACGGGAGGCAGCAGUGGGGAAUAUUGGACAAUGGGCGAAAGACCUGAUCCAGCGACGCCGCGUGGAUGA
rnacentral:rRNA from 1 species